rnacentral:SRP_RNA from 2 species
UCGUGCUAAGCGGGGGGGUGGCGGUCCCCUGAACCCGAAAUCCGCCAAAGCGGGGCUGAAAUCCCCCCUUGAGGCUGCAAGUGGCCGGAACUGCCGCAGUCAGCGGUGUUGAGGGCUGGGUCCUGAGCGGCGAGAGCCCGUGAACGGGUCAGGCCCGGAAGGGAGCAGCCAUAAGCGGUCACUCUCGGGUGCCUCAGGGGAGCCUGGCCUGAGCCGUCUGACUGUGUGUAAGCCGGUGCGCUGCAGUCGAGAGGGGGGUGCACGA